UCCGUAGGGCGCAAGCGUUGUCCGGAAUUAUUGGGCGUAAAGAGCUCUUAGGUGGUGUGUCGCGUCUGCCGUGAAAGCCCGGGGCUUAACUCCGGGUCUGCGGUGGAUACGGGCAGACUAGAGGCAGGUAGGGGAGAACGGAAUUCCCGGUGUAGCGGUGAGAUGCGCAGAUAUCAGGAGGAACACCGGUGGCGAAGGCGGGUCUCUGGGCAACAACUGACGCUGAGACGCGAAAGCGUGGGGAGCGAACAGG
rnacentral:rRNA from 1 species